CUCUGCUCUGGCCAAACCAUUUUCUGCCUAAAAGUGGAGGAGGAUUUAGAAGGAAAGAAUAUUCUUGUCUACUUCUUAGUCUACCUUUUUUUGCCCAUCGUAUAGCAGUCAGCAGGUAGUAGGCACAAUUUUUGGAGGCAACAUAUCCAGGACAGCUGACCCAAACUGCCCACACGGAUAUUCCAUACCAUGUGAUGUCAGCUCAGCAACAGAAGGUAGUAAACAGAAUACCAUGACAGGCGAUGCUUCUUUGAAGGUCAGCCCAAAUGAUGGAAUAUAUGAGCACAGCAUGGAGCAGAAAAAAACCCACACAGAAGUUUUGUCCUUGGAAUUGUAGCAAAACCCUGUUGGCUGCAGCAGCACCUACAUUUUCUUUUUGAAGCUCCUCAGCAGUAGAUUGGUGUUCCUAUGGAAGACGUAUACCCUGAAAUCUGGAUGGUCUCACCUUGAAAUUAAGAAAAGAUGUAUGGGCUCUUGUUCUGCGUCAUCCUGUAGGAGACCUCAUCUCCACUCACACAGUGAAUCCCGUGAGAUUAGCAGCUGACUUCAAGACUUCUACUGAUUUUUUUUAAAUGGAAUUACCAUGAAAACCCCAAAUGCUGCAGUCACCCUCCAUCCCCCCCAGUGGAAUUACGAUGGUCCCAUCAUGUAAAGAUAGAUCACAUGUUCAUAUGGGCCACAACCAACAAUUCCUUUGUAUUUUUUAUGUUACUUAGCUCAAUGGAGCUCCAUGCUAGCUGAUACUUCUCCAGAUUAAUGAAAUAUAAAUAUUUAGUCACAAGUAAAAUAACUCUAGCAUGUUAUGAUGUUCAAUCGCAUGUGCUUUUUUAUCAGUUUCUCAAAAAAAUGACAACUUGUGAUCUAUAUCAUGGGUCACAUCUAUAAGCAACAGGACAUAGCUCUGUGAAAGUAUUCAACACUUGUGCAAAUAAGAAAAACUGGGAGCCUUUAUGUUAUAUGAAUGAAUAUUACUAACCCAUAUUUCCAAUUAAUUUACAUUUUUUCCCCAUAAGUUUAUGAACACGUUAUAUAACCACAGUUAGUUUUCUACACUGACCUAAUCUGUGACAAUAGAUUUACUCAGAGAAAUGAAUCCUUGCUCAAUCUUACCAUAGAUCAGCCUGUUUAUGGAAAAGAGAGGGAGAAAAGGAGAGAGGAAAGUGCAGCUGUCUUUGUGGCUGAGGACUCCCUUUGCUGUUAUUGAAGUUGGCGCCACGUACUUUUAUUUGCUAAAAGCUCUUUGACCUGCAGACUAAAACAUGACUGUUAAUAAAAGGUCAUGAAACACAUCUGAAAUGGUAAUAAAACAAGUGAGAAGAAACUGCAAAUAAAACACUUUGUGAGAAUCCUUUUUUCCCUUGAUAAGAAUGGACUGCUCUGGAAAAACUAAAACUGAGAAAUAUAAUCAUGUGAAAGAAGCGCAUAUUUUAAUGCAAAAGCUUGUUCACUGACUAAAUUUCCAUGUCUCAAAUCUUGACUAGAUUUAAACUUUCUCAGGGGUCUACAGAAACAAGUAAUUUUUGUUUAUGUAAAGAGGAAGGGAUUCUUUGCAUAAGCACAGUGGUAAUAGCUCUGGUAUGUACUUCGAGGUCUGCAAAAUUGCUCUUCCUGGGGAAAGCAGUUUAUGAAAUUUCCAUAGCUAAGGCCAAUUUGCACAAUCCAAGUAAAUGUCUUGGGUUAUUCUCUGAGGUCUAAAGGGCUGAGAACACCCGACAUAUCACAUUCUACCAGCACCAGUCAUGGAGGCCCAGGGUAAUGGGUGUCUGCUCUUGCACAUCCUCUGAAGUCAUCUCACUUCUGAAUCCAUAUUUGUGCCCCAUUCUCACAGAAUUAGAAUUAGUAAUAAUUAUUCUAUGUAAUAAUAUAGGAUUGCUCAAUAACACAAAGGCUAAAUGCAGAAUGAUUUCCAGGGAAUCAGAUGAAAAUCUGCGUAAUCUUUAGGGUGGUGGCAAAUUCAUACACAGUGGGUGUGGACAUUUUUUCAGGACUUUGCAUUAUGUUCCUCACAUUCAAUACACACAAGGAAAGGAUGGGAAGUAUACAACUUCCCUCCCCACUACACAGCAUUAAAAGACAAAUAUAGCUUCUUUUUUUUAACUUUGCAUUAAGUGUUCAGCUUUCACCUUCCAUAUCGUCCAACAAUCUGCUAAAAUUUCCAGCAGCUACGUUUUCCAGGGAAGCCAAGUACAGGAUGAGGUUUUCCAAAAGGUGAAUGAAACAAUUCAUUGAAAAUGUCAGUCAGAAGCCAGAACAUAAUUUUAUUUGGUUUUUUUGAUCCUUGUUCAGAUUUCAUAUGAUUAGCAUGUGGCGAACUGUAAAAUGAAGUGGAACCAAAGUGCCUGAAAUAAAUUUCACCUUGACCUGAUUUCCACUUGACUGAAU